GCCUGGGCCUGGGCCUGGGCCUGGGCCUGGGCCUGGGCCUGGGCCUGGGCUUUAGCCUGAGAUUGAGUCUGAGCCAGCUGGACACAACCGCCUCUAUCCCAGUGGCCCAGCACACAACACAAAGCAGCAUAGCAAUUCAGGAUCCAGAACAGCAGGCAGAAGAGGUGGUGGAGAAAGAACAGGCGGAGGAGAUCACCGCACAAAUCACCGAUGUGAGAGAAAUAACUAAAUAUGAGUAUGAACACCUGAAUGAAGACAAUGAAGACUUUGUCAUUAAGAAAGAGAUGAAAACAGAGGAAGAAAAUAAGAAGGAAAAUGAAAAACAAGGAGGACUUGAAUAGGAACCUGAUCUGGUAGAUAGCAACCCCAGAAAAUUCAGUUAGGAGGAAUAAAAAGAAGAUAGAAAAGAAGAAAGAAUCUGUUGUUCACUGUUUUUAGGUUUUUCAUUAUUCAGAAGCCCGUGGGAAUUGUAACACUGAUAUUUUAAUGUUCAUCAUCCUAAAAGUGAUAUUCUAUGAAAAAUACCUUUUUCUUACCUGUUGCAGUUAUAUUUAAUGAUGCUUAAUAAAGUUAAAAGAAGGGUUUGUUUGAAAUCAAUAAAGAGAAAU